rnacentral:rRNA from 1 species
AGUGAACGCUGGCGGUAGGCCUAACACAUGCAAGUCGAACGGCAGCACAGUAAGAGCUUGCUCUUACGGUUGGCGAGUGGCGGACGUGUGAUGAAUACAUCGUAAUCUACUUUUUCGUGGGUGAUAACGUAGGGGAACUUACGCUAAUACCGCAUACGACCUACGGUUGAAAUCAGUGGAUCUUCGGACCUUGCGCGUUUUAAUUAGCCGAUUUCGGAUUAGCUAGUUGGCGGGGUAAAGGCCCACCAAGGCGACGAUCCGUAGCUGGUCUGAGAGGAUGAUCAGCCACACUGGAACUGAGACACGGUCCAGAGUCCUACGGGAGGCAGAAGUGGGGAAUAUUGGACAAUGGGCGAAAGCAUGAUCCAGCAAUACCGCGUGGGUGAAGAAGGCCUUCGGGUUGUAAAGCCCUUUUGUUGGGAAAGAAAAGAAGCAGAUUAAUACCAAGCUGUUCUGACGGUAACAAAAGAAUAAGCACCGGCUAACUUCGUG